rnacentral:lncRNA from 1 species
UCUCGACAGUUGGGCACUUCAGCUUUGGCACAGGGAUCCACAUCACAUGAUGUAUCUGAUCAGACUUUGAUCCCUCACAUCUCCACUGUCUUCCAGAUGAUUUCAGAUCAGUCAGUUUGCAUUCAGCAGCUUGAGGGUUAUAUAUUGAGACUGACUGGGAGGGUACUUGACUUGCAGGGGCAAGUGUUAGCUCUGGCAUAUCCACAGCCACAGGAGUGCAUCACUGAGGUCUCAGACCUAUCUAUGGAGGCAGCCAGACUUAGAGGAGUUUUGGAGAGUGGAUUUGAUUUCCUGAGGAGAGAGAUCAGAGGCUCUAGUGAGCAUGCAUCCACCCAGUUCACUGCACUGCUAUAGUCUGUUUUGAGAGCUCUGAACCUUCUGGACACCAUCAGACUCUCUCUUGCAGUUCAGUCUGUUGCUUCUCAGCCUUCAGGAUCAUCUCGCCCGCCCACUCGUGCCGGCACCUCCACUCAUGGCAGAGGCAGACGGGGUAGAGGACGAGCCCUUGGUCAUGAUCCUUCAUCUCCCCACCCUAUCUUCGAUUCAUCUGACUCUGAUCCAUCCAGUCAUGAUCUCUAC